AAUCGGGUGACUACCAAAUCGGCCUAUUUUCAUACCGACGAAGUCGAUUAUCGUUGGCUACUUAUUUUCGUCGAUAGAUUAAUUGAAUAAAUAAAUCGGUGCCGAUUUCAUCGGUAAAAUAAUCGAUUGAUUGUGUAUUUGUUGUUUAUUUUUGUCGCCUGAUUAAUGAACGUACGAAAUCGGGUGCCUGUGUUUAUAAAUGUAAUAUGAAGCAAACCGAGGCACGUUCCGAAACAUGCCGGAAGACUGGUUUUCCGGUAAUUAGCAGCUCGAUUAGCAGUUAAUCAAGAAUCAUGGAGUUUGACGCGAUCCCGCUCGAUCGAAAAAGUGUUCGUGCACCCGGGUCUGAGUCAAGAUCUACGGAAGAAUGGAUGAUUCCACGAAUAAUCGCCCAAGGCAUCCAUUUAGCAAAUCGAUUAAACACCCUAUUUGGUCGGAUUGCAAUAUUUUGCACACCGAUCAAUCUCUAGAUUUAAUCUGAUACAGUAGAUGAUGAAAUUUAAUAAAUCGAUUUAACCCCAUA